CAGGAGUGAACAAGGAGGAGGGGGCUGAGGGGCGUUGCGGGCAGCGAUGGGAGGGGCUGGACGCAGGGCCCGCCCGGUGGCCUGAACUGCCAGCAAAGGGGCAGCCUUGGGCACAACCCGGAUCCCACUACACCCCCACCCCGGGCACGAGGCCCCUGCUGCCUCUCAGAGUCCCUUGGCUCAGGCCCCGCCCCCGCAACAGCACUACAACUCCCAUCAGGCCCCGCGCCCCCUCGCCUGCUCGGGGAUCACGUGGGGCGGGCCGGAAGGGGCUGCGCCGCGAGGAGCGGGAGGGGCGCGCCCACUUCUUCCUGCCAUUGGCUCAAGCCGCUGCCCGUCAGCCCCGGCUCGCAGCGGAAGGGGUGGGCGGAUCCGGAAGCGGAACGCCUGAAAGGCGGAAGUGCAGGCCAGAGCCUGGCAGAUUCACCUGAGGUGGGGGCGGUGCCGCGGGGACCCCCUGGUGCUGGCCUCAUAGAAGAGAUUCCAUUUACCCAAGGAACCCUGUUUGCCUAUGUCCUUGGGCCAACACGGCUACACCCAACAACCUUAAAGGAGAUAUGAUGUGCUUUAGGCUCUGGCAAGUGACUUGCAGUGUGGUGUUUGUGCCCCUGGGGGGUCUCCAAAAUAACUGGUUGGGUAGAUGGUGCAUGUUUCCCUGCCACUCUCCAGAUGCCAACCAACAGCCUCUCUGCCACAUCUGUUAGAUGUAUUUGAUGUGGUGUCAUGUGCUGAUGGGUAUUGGGCAUCUGGUGUUUGUUCUUGUUCUGUGCAAAAUAACUCCAUUCUGGAGUUAGUUGGUGUGGUUUGGUUUUUUGUUUCAGGCUUUGGGCUGAGCUUAUGUGGGCUUAGAUUGCUUGGUGUCUGGAAUGAGCUUAAUACCUGGCUCAAGGUUGAAGACUAAUCGGUUAAUGAAAAGGACUAACAAUGGUGAGAUUCAUCCUUAAUAACCUAAACUAGAUCCUUCAGCUAAUCCUUCAAGUGAAAGAGUAUACUUGGAUCGGUGAUUCUCAACCAGGGUUCCUGUGGCACCUUACAUUGCCUUGAUCCUUUCAGGGGUGCUGCAGGAUGUCAUGUAACAUUGGCACUGUGGGUACGCAUGAUUCAAAAGUUACCCUGAAUAAGAAGAAUCCAUAGUGCUGUAGUCAGAGUGAGUGAAGUGCUUCUCUCCUCUUUCCCCUGUGCCCUUCCCCAACAAACUGCUGUACAGAAACACUCCACUCCAAAAAAGGAGCAAUAACUAAGGGAUGGCUCUCUUCUAAGGGGUUUCUUGAGUCUCUCUUGAGGCUGAGCCAC
rnacentral:lncRNA from 1 species